rnacentral:lncRNA from 1 species
GGGUUUUGGAGACGGUGGAUGGAGGAGGGGGAGGGAAAGCUGCCAACUUUGGAUACCAACCCCGUACACCCACCGAAGGGGAUGUCCCACUUUUUCCAGCGCUGGGAGCAAAAAGAUAACAGUGAGCGAGGUUGAAAACACCUGACAGUGAAAAGAGCAAUUUGAAGAAAAACAAAAUUUAUCUUCAAUGUGAAAAGCAAUUUAUAAAAAUCCGAAUACUUGCCAGGAGCAACUUGACAAAAAAGACAAAGGUGGUAGAAGAAAUGUAACCAGCCCACAAUUCCAAUGUUGAUAACAGAUGAGCUCCCUUUCAAGGUGACUGACAUUUACACAAGUACACAGAGCAAGAAGAAGGUCUGAGUGAACUGCCAAGCAUUUUAACUUCUCCUGAGACCAAGUACAUCAACAGUUCUCUUGGAAAAGAACAACUGAUUUGGGAGUCUAGCAGACUGCCAGCUGCAAGACAUUCAUCCAGCAUCAGGAACACAAUGGGCCUUCAUUUGCCUGCCUUUCUGAGGGCACCAAUCAAAAGGAGUCUACUCCUAUGUAAAUCUUCUGCAGGUUGUGCAGUGGACUUCACCUAGUCUCCCAUCUCCAGCUAAUUUGGCCAAGAAUAGUCACCUGGCGCAAGGUGGGGAGGGAGCUCUCAAUUGGCCAGCAACUUCUGACGUGUGACCUGACUGAACAAUGAGAGGCUCGAGUGAAAUUACCAGCUGGUAGUAGGACAGAGGAUAUAGAUACAUGGAAUGGAGCUGAGCCAAAUUAAUGACAAAGGACUAGACAAGAAUGACUGUUGAUGAUCACCUAUGCUGAGAUCACAAAGCUGCCCCGAGUCCAGAAGCAGGUUCACUGAGGGAGGCUCAACCAUGUUACCAAUCUUGUUUGAGAUUAAUGUUCCUUGUUGUAAACCUCAAGUCUGUUUCUUGCAAUCAAACCAUUCUAAAUUGAAACAA